AACGCACAUUGCGCCUCCUGUUACAGGGAGGCAUGCCUGUCUGAGCGUCAUUUAAACCCAAUGUCGACCGCAUACUUUUGCCGUCGGCGUGUUGGGCCCUCGUUGGACUUGGUUUCGACGUGGCCUCGAAUCCAUCGGUCAAGUUGAGCGGACGAGAUCCUCUGGGACAGAGACCGUUCAUGAGACCCUAAAGACAUCUGAAUUUUGACCUCAGAUCAGGUAGGGACACCGCCUGAACUUAA
rnacentral:misc_RNA from 1 species